UUGGUUAAAGCCAAAGAGAGGCAUAUCACUGUUAAUGAUAUCACUGGAACCAGCUUCCUAACCAAG
rnacentral:tRNA from 1 species